GGUGAAGGUGUGUAGUAUGGGGGUGGUGGGGAGCUGUAGACGUACGGUGGUGGGGGAGAUUUGUAGACUAUCUUAGGAGAAGGUGAGUAGUAUGGUGGUGGUGGUGAGCUGUAGACGUAUGGUGGUGGUGGAGACUUGUAGUCUACCUUAGGUGAUGGUGAGUAGUAUGGUGGUGGUGGAGAACUGUAAACAUAUGGUGGAGGAGGAGAUUUGUAGUCUACCUUCGGGGUUGGUGAGUAGUAUGGUGGUGGUGGGGAACUGUAAACAUAUGGUGGAGGAGGAGACUUGUAUACAACCUUAGGGGAUGGAGAGUAGUAUGGUGGUGGUGGAGAACUGUAGACAUACGGUGGUGGGGGAGAUUUGUAGUCUACCUUAGGGGAAGGUGAGUAGUAUGGGGGUGGUGGGGAGCUGUAGACGUACGGUGGUGGGGGAGAUUUGUAGACUAUCUUAGGAGAAGGUGAGUAGUAUGGUGGUGGUGGUGAGCUGUAGACGUAUGGUGGUGGUGGAGACUUGUAGUCUACCUUAG
rnacentral:lncRNA from 1 species